rnacentral:misc_RNA from 1 species
AAGUCGUAACAAGGUUUCCGUAGGUGAACCUGCGGAAGGAUCAUUAAUGAAUAAACCUGGUUGGGUUGUUGCUGGUCUUUCGGGACAUGUGCACACCUACCACUUUUAUUAACCACCUGUGCACCCUAUGUAGACUGAUGACAACAUGUCGAGGCAACUCGGAUUGAGGACUGCUGUGUGCCUGCAAAGGCCCAGCUUUCCUUGAGUCUCAGUCUAUGUCUUAUAUAAACCCCUUAUGCAUGUAUCAGAAUGUAUAGUAAGGCCUUUGUGCCUCUAAAUCAAAUACAACUUUCAACAACGGAUCUCUUGGCUCUC